UUUCAUUUCUCAAGCAAAACCUGACAACUGCUAAAUAUCAAAAGAGCAAUAUAUGGUACGAAUUCAUGAAAUAUUUUUAGCAUCUGUUCCCAAGAAAGCAUUCGGGGAGCAGACAACUGGAUAAAAAAGGGAGACAGGGACCGCAAAUAAUAAUAGUGCUUCCUAAGAACUGAUGACAAUAGACACUCUGUCUCCCGUACUAGGAAAAUACUCUAGUGUUUUAUUGCUAUGUUUAUUAUUUAGCCACAGGACGACUCACAGCCACUGAAAAUAUUCCACGGAAGGUCUAGCAGGCUGCAGAGUCCGACAAGGAUGUAUUUUAAAAGCGGGGAAAAAAAGCAUGGAAUUGGCUUCUCCUCCCCAUCUGAAAGGGGUACAAGAAGACCAGCGCCACUGGAGCUGGUGGGACUGGGACGAGGAUCAGCUCGAUGACCCUCCCCUGCAACUCUCCGCAGCGGUGAGCCAUGGAAAGCACAUUCCCUGUACCGUGCGAGGAUUGUAAUGCCACUUUCCUUCCCUUCCCGAGGUCCCUCUGUGGCCUCCCCGAGCACAGAGCUGCCUUUCCAACAGCCCCCGCUAUUUUUGGGGCCUCUUGAACAUCUCACCAGCUCGGCCUGGAAACGCCACGGGGGAAAACGCUGCCCAAGGUCUGCUCUGGGAGAGCAAAAUGAGAGCACUGGAUCGACCUGGAAGGCACAGAAAACCGUUGGUCGGGAUUUCUGGAUGCCACCUGUCCCGUUGCCCUUUGGGACACACCAGGUGAGGUCUCAUUUUGCUGAAUCCACCUCUGGGCUGGUCCACACGGAAGUGGUUUGGACAAGAAAAGAUGCACAUCCUGGGCAAAUUUAAUUAGAACUUGACAAGAGAAAGGAGGAAGUUCUUGACAAAGGGGAUUAUGAAAUUUGAAGGGAAGGCUGUUUUGCCAGCUCUUGUUGAGUGAAUGGCUGCUGGAGCUGCUCGAGUCCCCAAAAAAGGCUAUAAUUUGCUUUUCAACAGCUUCUACUCAUGGUUUUGCAGAAGUACCUCAUUAAAGUUCACAGGAUGUUCAAAUCUUCUGGGCCUCUAAAAAAGGCAAAAGUUACUCUGCACCUCCAGCUGAAUUCAUGAGCUGAUCUCACCAAACUUCUGCCUCCAGGAGAAAAAAACCCAACAAACUCCUGUGCUUACUUCCUGACAAGCUGUUGUAUUCCCAGCUGUGUGGCUUUGUGUCCCUACUUCCUGGCCAUGGGGGUGAAACCUGCUGUCCCGCAGGGUUGCAACCAGCAGAUGGGGAUGGGGAUGCUGGGAGAGACCCAAGAAGCCGACAAAGUACAGCAAAACCCUUGAGGUGUUGGUGACUUGGGCACUUCAUGUCUUAAUGCCUGUUGCAAGGUGCUCAGCUAUCGCAGCAUCAUGUAAAAUAUCCAGGGGGGGCUGGGGG
rnacentral:lncRNA from 1 species